UACGAAGGGGGCUAGCGUUGCUCGGAAUCACUGGGCGUAAAGCGCACGUAGGCGGCUCUUUAAGUCAGGGGUGAAAUCCUGGAGCUCAACUCCAGAACUGCCUUUGAUACUGGGGAUCUCGAGUCCGGGAGAGGUGAGUGGAACUGCGAGUGUAGAGGUGAAAUUCGUAGAUAUUCGCAAGAACACCAGUGGCGAAGGCGGCUCACUGGCCCGGUACUGACGCUGAGGUGCGAAAGCGUGGGGAGCAAGCAGG
rnacentral:rRNA from 1 species